UCAAGCUACUAAGGGUUAAUGGUGGAUGCCUUGGUGCGGAAAGGCGAUGAAGGACGUGGCAAGCUGCGAAAAGCCUCGGGGAGCUGCAAGCGAGCGAAGAUCCGUGGAUGUCCGAAUGGGGAAACCCGUUACGGUGAAAGCCGUAUCAUCCUUAUAUGAAUAUAUAGUAUAAGGAAGCGAACUCAGGGAAGUGAACCAUCUCAGUACCUGAAGGAAGAGAAAGAAAAAUCGAUUUCCCGAGUAGCGGCGAGCGAAAGGGAAAGAGCCUAAACCAAUUACACUUCGGUGUAGUCGGGGUUGUGGGACCUGACAUAAUAUCUGAAAACCUAGUCGAAUCGUUCUGGAAAGGCGAUCCAUAGGGGGUGAAAGACCCGUAGACGAAAGGCGGAAGGAAGGGUUGGGUAUCCCAAGUACCACGGGACACGAGAAAUCUUGUGGGAAUCAGCGAGGACCAUCUCGCAAGGCUAAAUACUCAUCCGCAACCGAUAGUGAACUAGUACCGUGAGGGAAAGGUGAAAAGAACUCCUGCGAGGAGAGUGAAAUAGUACCUGAAACCAUUAACCUACAAGCGGUCGGAGCCUCGAUUUAUCGGGGUGACGGCGUGCCUUUUGCAUAAUGAGCCGGCUAGUUGUUCUAAGCAGCGAGGUUAAUCUGAAAAUAAAGAGGAGCCGAAGGGAAACCGAGUCUUAAUAGGGCGUAUAGUUGUUUGGAGCAGACGCGAAGCUGAGUGAUCUAUCCUUGGCCAGGGUGAAGCUUAUGUAACAGUAAGUGGAGGCCCGAACCUGUUUGGGUUGAAAACCGAUUGGAUGAGCCGAGGAUAGGGGUGAAAGGCCAAUCAAACUCAGUUAUAGCUCGUUCUCCCCGAAAUAGCUUUAGGGCUAGCCUCUCGUGAUGAGUAACGGUGGUAGGGAUCUGAAUGGACUAGGGGCCCUAAAAGGUUACUGAAUCCAACCAAACUUCGAAUGCCGUUAACUGCUAACGAGGGAGUCAGACUACGUGGGAUAAACUUCGUGGUCAAAAGGGAAACAGCCCAGACCGCCAGCUAAGGUCCCGAAAUUUAGGCUAAGUGGGAAAGGAUGUGGAGACGCCCAUACAACCAGGAGGUUGGCUUAGAAGCAGCCAUCCUUUAAAGAAAGCGUAACAGCUCACUGGUCGAGCGGCUCCGUGCCGAUAAUGUAACGGGGCUCAAGCCUAAUACCGAAGCUGCGGAAUGUCUUCGGACAUUGGUAGGGGAGCAUUCUAUUCAGGAGUGAAGGUGGACCGUGAGGACCACUGGACCGGAUGGAAGAGACUCUGCCGGCAUAAGUAGCGAUAAGGCAGGUGAGAAACCUGCCCGCCGAAAGUCUAAGGUUUCCUGAGGAAGGUUAAUCCGCUCAGGGUUAGUCGGUCCCUAAGCCGAGGUCGAAAGGCGUAGGCGAUGGAAAGCAGGUUAAUAUUCCUGCACUACCGGGAAAGCGUUUGAGCGAUGGGGUGACGCAGUAGGAUAGGCAUACAUGCGAUUGGAAGUGCAUGGCCGCAAUCGUAGGGGGGCUGGCUAGGUAAAUCCGGCUGGCUAUUAAACCCUGAGGAACGUGGGGAAGUGCGCCUUCGGGCAAACCAACUUGUUGAUUCCACACUGCCAAGAAAAACCUCUAGUGAAUUUUCCAGGUAACCGUACCCUAAACCGACACAGGUAGACAAGGAGAGAAUCCUAAGGCGCUUGAGAGAACUCUUGCUAAGGAACUCGGCAAAUUAACCCCGUAACUUCGGAAGAAGGGGUGCCCCGUUAGAGUGAUUCUUUAACUUGAUGAGCUCGAGGGGGUUGCAGAGAAAUGGCCCAGGCGACUGUUUACUAAAAACAUAGGACUCUGCUAAGUCGAAAACGACGUAUAGGGUCUGACGCCUGCCCGGUGCCGGAAGGUUAAAAGGAGGGGUUAGCUUCUUCGGAAGCGAAGCUCUGAAUUGAAGCCCCGGUAAACGGCGGCCGUAACUAUAACGGUCCUAAGGUAGCGAAAUUCCUUGUCGGGUAA
rnacentral:rRNA from 1 species